GACUGCCGGUGACAAACCGGAGGAAGGUGGGGAUGACGUCAAAUCAUCAUGCCCCUUAUGACCUGGGCUACACACGUGCUACAAUGGAUGGUACAAAGGGCUGCAAACCUGCGAAGGUAAGCGAAUCCCAUAAAGCCAUUCUCAGUUCGGAUUGCAGGCUGCAACUCGCCUGCAUGAAGCCGGAAUCGCUAGUAAUCGCGGAUCAGCAUGCCGCGGUGAAUACGUUCCCGGGCCUUGUACACACCGCCCGUCACACCACGAGAGUUUGUAACACCCGAAGUCGGUGAGGUAACCUUYAUGGAGCCAGCCGCCUAAGGUGGGACAGAUGAUUGGGGUGAAGUCGUAACAAGGUAGCCGUAUCGGAAGGUGCGGCUGGAUCACCUCCUUUCUAAGGA
rnacentral:rRNA from 1 species